GGGUGUGAAAUCUGCUACCGAAGACGGC
rnacentral:sRNA from 1 species